CUCCUCUUCACAUUGGUGGCUGUUCUGGGGUCGUGCUUUCAUUUUUAAUUUUUCUAUUUGAAAUGGAGGUGGAAAGAGAAAAGGAGAAAUGACUGCAGAAAGAGGAAAGAGAGAGAGUAGGAGGCUUUCAGCAAAGUCAAAAGAAGAGCAAAUAUAUCAAAGUGGCCAUAUGAGGAAAGGUCAACAGAGGCCUUGGCAAGCCCACAUUUCCCCUCCUGGAUACUGUCAGAAGUAACCUUCACCAACUACAAACAGUUUGGCUACAUGUGGUUCAGACUCCAACUGGCUCAGCAGCACCUUUCUUUUUUAGUUUAAGCCAUGUGAAUCAGAAGCCAGCUCAAGAAAAGAAGCACAACAGAAUCCUUGCAGAUUUCCAUAGAUGAGGAAGAGACUAAGUAUUUGAUUUCAAAACUGGAAGGCAGAUGAAAGAAGCAGCAAAUGACAGAGAAGGUUGGAAGAGCCUAGUUUCUGCCUGCUCGCCAAUGUUGGCAAUGGAAGAAUAGAUAAACAAAUCAGUGCCUCUUGGUGUACAUAUAAUUACCAGAUCAUUCAAAUAAAUCUUUAUCUUUCACUGUCUCUCAGAGA